GCCACCGACGCUGAUCGCAGCAAAAGUAGUGAUAACAGUAGAGGCACCAAAACCACCUCGGCAUGCUCGAGCCUGUCUGGAAGACAAUCGUUAAGUUUGUCACGAAAGCACCAUUUCCUGGUGGGCGUUUUACAAGGCCGGAAAACAACUUCUAAAUGAAAAACGACGAGAACAAAUAUCACCUGAGCAAGAAAAAAUGCACCGAUGCUCUUGCUCUCCAAACAGCUCCAUACAGUUGAGACCGUCGAAGAUGCUGUUCCACUUAUGGUUUUGUUGUGAGAUAUUCUUUCUGUAGUUUUGAAUAUCA